AACGAACGCUGGCGGCAUGCCUAACACAUGCAAGUCGAACGAGAUCUUCGGGUCUAGUGGCGCACGGGUGCGUAACGCGUGGGAAUCUGCCCUUUGGUUCGGAAUAGCAGUUGGAAACGACUACUAAUACCGGAUGAUGACGAAAGUCCAAAGAUUUAUCGCCAGAGGAUGAGCCCGCGUAGGAUUAGCUAGUUGGUGUGGUAAGGGCGCACCAAGGCGACGAUCCUUAGCUGGUCUGAGAGGAUGAUCAGCCACACUGGGACUGAGACACGGCCCAGACUCCUACGGGAGGCAGCAGUGGGGAAUAUUGGACAAUGGGCGAAAGCCUGAUCCAGCAAUGCCGCGUGAGUGAUGAAGGCCUUAGGGUUGUAAAGCUCUUUUACCCGGGAUGAUAAUGACAGUACCGGGAGAAUAAGCUCCGGCUAACUCCGUGCCAGCCGCCGCCGUAA
rnacentral:rRNA from 1 species